GAGUUGAUCUUGGCUCAGAUUGAACGCUGGCGGCAGGCCUAACACAUGCAAGUCGGGCGGUAGAGAGAAGCUUGCUUCUCUUGAGAGCGGCGGACGGGUGAGUAAUGCCUAGGAAUCUGCCUGGUAGUGGGGGAUAACGCUCGGAAACGGACGCUAAUACCGCAUACGUCCUACGGGAGAAAGCAGGGGACCUUCGGGCCUUGCGCUAUCAGAUGAGCCUAGGUCGGAUUAGCUAGUUGGUGAGGUAAUGGCUCACCAAGGCGACGAUCCGUAACUGGUCUGAGAGGAUGAUCAGUCACACUGGAACUGAGACACGGUCCAGACUCCUACGGGAGGCAGCAGUGGGGAAUAUUGGACAAUGGGCGAAAGCCUGAUCCAGCCAUGCCGCGUGUGUGAAGAAGGUCUUCGGAUUGUAAAGACACUUUAAGUUGGGAGGAAGGGCAGUAAAUUAAUACUUUGCUG
rnacentral:rRNA from 1 species